AUGUUAUCACGAAAGGCAGAGGGAAUAGACCCUAUGAAGCCUUAGCAACCCUUUAAACUUUAAAGAAGGUGCUAAAUUCUACUACGCACACGCGCAGAUAGAUAACUC
rnacentral:ncRNA from 2 species